CAACAGUGACACCCAGAAGGAAGGAGGCUUCAAUGUCUUGCACACUUUGGGUUUCGUAUCAGGCACUUGAACUGUUGGACAGACGCCAUUCUGAACCAAAAAGGACCUUUCCUGUCUGUAUUUGCCCCUGUGGGCCUGGCAUAGGGCUGGAGUCAGAGUGGAGAUCUGCAACGUGCCUCCUGCUACAAACCAAAAGCAAAAGCACUAAAGGCUUCAGGAGAAAAAGGCUGGAAAAGGAACUGUUAUGUGACAUUCAAGAUAAUUAAAAUCAAUUAUUCAAGACACUAUCAAGGGGUAGUAUUCUGUCUACACAACAAGAACAACAUUGCAACCAAAAACCUGCAGUUUCAGGCAGCCACAGCCCUGACUAUCAAACUGCAUUUUGAUACCUGUUUCCUGGAAUAUAUAUAGUAUAAUUCUUCUGAACGUCACUCGAUCCUGCAAGAAGCAGCACAGAGAAACACAUUAUUCCUCUCCACUGAAAUACCCCUGUUUAAAGAGCUGACAAACAUGAACCAGUAUUUACAGCAAACGCCAGGGCUGAGAAAGCAGCUGCUGAAGUGAUACCACAUCCACCACAACGCUGACUGCAACAGCUCCUGUUAACAGUACUUCUGGCAAGAACAAAUGAAAAAACAGGGAGCUGUAAGACCUGAUCCUUCUCAGACAACCACUUAGGGAUUCCAUUUUUAUUCUAUCUUUUACAAUUUUUCCGGGUUGAGUUUUGGGGGUUUUUUUGCCUGUUUGGUAAUACAUAUUUCAUGCUUCUGCAUCAAAUGAAGAAGUUUUGCUCUUCCUGCUGAAGCCAGUGAAAAUUGGCAGUUCCAGCACUUGUUAAGGCAGCUGCAGAACUAAGUCUGAUUGGAUUCCUCUCUACUUGAGCCACAGAUUUCAAACGUUGGAGAUUUACACUGCUCUCAGGUCAGGAACAGAGUACCAAACAGCAGCAGGCUUGUCCUCUCCACCUUCUCAGAUGCAAGAGCCAGCUUGCGGAAGGACCAACUCCCGGCUGAGCGCGUUCCGCAGGGAAACUGCGGCGUGCGCCGGGGGAGCCGAACGCCGAGCGGGCAGGACCGCCCGCGCUGCGCGCCGCGGACACGGGGAGGCGCUGCGGGGCCGGCACCGAGCGGAACCGAGCGGCACCGCACGG